rnacentral:rRNA from 1 species
CUGCUGCCUUCCGUAGGAGUUUGGACCGUGUCUCAGUUCCAAUGUGGGGGACCUUCCUCUCAGAACCCCUACUGAUCGUCGCCCCGGUGGGCCGUUACCCCGCCGGCAAGCUAAUCAGACGCAUCCCCAUCCUUUACCGGCCGAAGCCUUUGGUCAUGAAAAUAUGCAUCAACAUGACAACAUACGGUAUUAAUCCGCCUUUCGACGGGCUGUCCCAUAGUAAAGGGCAGGUUGGAUACGCGCUACUCACCCGUACGCCGGUCGCCA